GAUUCUGGCUCAGGAUGAACGCUAGCGACAGGCUUAACACAUGCAAGUCGAGGGGCAGCAUGAUUUGUAGCAAUACAGAUUGAUGGCGACCGGCGCACGAGUGAGUAACGCGUAUGCAACUUACCUAUCAGAGGGGGAUAGCCCGGCGAAAGUCGGAUUAAUACCCCAUAAAACAGGGGUCCCGCAUGGGAAUAUUUGUUAAAGAUUCAUCGCUGAUAGAUAGGCAUGCG
rnacentral:rRNA from 1 species